UGGUUCCAUGCUGUGAUAUCUGGGGAGAAAGUCUCACUCCAUCAUGGUGGGAAAAGCAGUGCUGGGUGCUUUUUCCCUCCCACCCCAGGAACUGAAUCUCCAGUCGGGGGUCCCUGUCAAGCCAGCACGCUAGACUUCACUGGGGAAAUUCAAGCACCUGUAGAUCUGGAACCCCAACACUGAGCCUUUGCUCAGAUAAAAGAUUACUCUCUGUUACAGA